rnacentral:lncRNA from 1 species
GGAUCCGUAUGAUCUUUACUUGGUUUUGGAAUAGGCACGACGGUUGCAAGCUUCCAGAUUGAUGGUAAAUCACCAGAUUCCCAGAUGUUAUUCAUGAGCUGCAAGAGAGCUUCUAGCGAGGAAUCUGGCAAGUGUUUUAAGAGUUGGUAGUGAAUAUUAUCAGGCCCACAAGCUGUAUCAUGGGCUUUUGACAGAGAUGUUUUAAGUUCUUCAAGAGAAAAUAGUUUAUUAUAAUUUUCACCAUUUUUUGAUUUAAAGUUUAAUUUAUUUUUUUCUUUUUGUUUUUUAACUUUUUUAAAGUCUUCUCUGUAGUUGUUACAAGAAGAAGAUUUCGCAAAAGUUUCACCAAGCUUGUUGGCAAUAUCCUUUUCAGAUGUUAAUAAAUCAUUGCCG